rnacentral:rRNA from 1 species
GACGAACGCUGGCGGCGUGCUUAACACAUGCAAGUCGCACGGGACCCGCAAGGGUUCAGUGGCAAACGGGUGCGUAACACGUGAGGAACCUGUCCAACGGUGGGGGAUAGCCGGCCCGACGGCCGGGUAAUACCGCGUACGACCUUCGGGGGGCAUCCCCCGGGGGUGAGAGCAGCAAUGCGCCGAUGGAGGGCCUCGCGGCCUAUCAGCUAGUUGGUGAGGUCAUGGCUCACCAAGGCAACGACGGGUAGCUGGUCCGAGAGGAUGACCAGCCACAUUGGGACUGAGACACGGCCCAGACUCCUACGGGAGGCAGCAGUGGGGAAUCUUGCGCAAUGGGCGAAAGCCUGACGCAGCGACGCCGCGUGUGGGAUGAAGGUCUUCGGAUUGUAAACCACUGUCGGGAGGGACGAAGCUCUGACGGUACCUCCAAAGGAAGCACCGGCUAACUCUGUGCCAGCAGCCGCCGUAA